AUAGUACUCUCUCCGUUCGGAAUUAAUUGUCUCAGAAAUGAUUGUAUCUAGAACUAAAAUACGUCUAGAUACAUCCAUUUCUGUGACAAGUAAUUCCGAACGGAGGGAGUAGAGG
rfam:Triticum aestivum genome assembly, contig: Triticum_aestivum_CS42_TGACv1_scaffold_320852_4BL